rnacentral:sRNA from 1 species
ACAAAAGCAAUGACAAACGUAGAGAGAA